ACGGGAGGCAGCAGUGAGGAAUAUUGGUCAAUGGGCGGAAGCCUGAACCAGCCAAGUCGCGUGAGGGAAGAAGGUCCUACGGAUUGUAAACCUCUUUAGCCGGGGAGCAAUAAGCGCUAUGUAUAGCGUGAUGAGAGUACCCGGAGAAUAAGGAUCGGCUAACUCCGUGCCAGCAGCCGCGGUAAUACGGAGGAUCCGAGCGUUAUCCGGAUUUAUUGGGUUUAAAGGGUGCGUAGGCGGGCUGUUAAGUCAGCGGUGAAACCCCCGGGCUCAACCCGGGGACUGCCAUUGAAACUGGCGGCCUUGAGUACGUUGGGAGUGCGCGGAAUGUGUGGUGUAGCGGUGAAAUGCAUAGAUAUCACACAGAACACCGAUCGCGUAGGCAGCGCACUACGCCGCAACUGACGCUGAGGCACGAAGGCGCGGGGAUCGAACAGGAUUAGAUACCCUGGUA
rnacentral:rRNA from 1 species